GGACAACCUGCCCUUAGGUUGGGUAUAAACCCGGGAAACUGGGUAUAAUCCCCUAUAAGUCUCGGCUGCUGGAAUGCACCGAGAUUAAAAGCUCCGGCGCCCAAGGAUGGGUCUGCGGCCUAUCAGGGUUGUAGUGGGUGUAACGGACCUACUAGCCUACGACGGGUACGGGUUGUGAGAGCAAGAGCCCGGAGAUGGAUUCUGAGACACGAAUCCAGGCCCUACGGGGUGCAGCAGGCGCGAAAACUUUACAAUGCGGGAAACCGUGAUAAGGGAAUCUCGAGUGCCAGCAUAUAAUGUUGGCUGUCCAGAUGCCUAAAAAGCAUCUGUUAGCAAGGGCCGGGCAAGACCGGUGCCAGCCGCCGCGGUAACACCGGCGGCCCGAGUGGUAACCGCUUUUAUUGGGUCUAAAGGGUCUGUAGCCGGCCAAGUAAGUCCCUUGGGAAAUCUGGCAGCUUAACUGUCAGGCUGCUAGGGGAUACUGCUAGGCUUGGGACCGGGAGAGGUGAGAGGUACCUUGGGGGUAGGGGUGAAAUCUUGUGAUCCUCGGGGGACCACCAGUGGCGAAGGCGUCUCACCAGAACGGGUCCGACGGUAAGGGACGAAAGCUAGGGGCACGAACCGGAUUAGAUACCCGGGUAGUCCUAGCCGUAAACGAUGCUCGCUAGGUGUCAGUCACGGUGCGACCGUGAUUGGUGCCGUAGGGAAGCCGUGAAGCGAGCCACCUGGGAAGUAUGGCCGCAAGGCUGAAACU
rnacentral:rRNA from 1 species